rnacentral:rRNA from 1 species
GACGAACGCUGGCGGCGUGCUUAACACAUGCAAGUCGAACGGAAAGGCCCUGCUUGCAGGGUACUCGAGUGGCGAACGGGUGAGUAACACGUGGGUGAUCUGCCCUGCACUUCGGGUUAAGCCUGGGCGACUGGGUCUAAUACCGGCUAGGAGCCAUUUUUAAUGUGAUGGUUGGAAAGUUUUGUCGGUGUUGGAUGAGCUCGCGGCCUAUCAGCUUGUUGGUGGGGUAAUGGCCUACCAAGGCGGCGUCGGGUAGCCGGACUGUGAGGGUGGACGGCCACACUGGGACUGAGAGGCGGCCCAGACUCCGACGGGAGGGCGCAGUGGGGAAGAUUGACCAAUGGGCGCAAGCCUGAUGCAGCGACGCCGCGUGGGGGAUGACGGUCUUCGGGUUGAAAACUCCUUGCGCUAGGGACGAAGCUUUUUGUGACGGUACCUAGAUAAGAAGCACCGGCUAACUACGUG